UGGGGAAUAUUGCACAAUGGGGGGAAACCCUGAUGCAGCAACGCCGCGUGAACGAAGAAGUAUUUCGGUAUGUAAAGUUCUAUCAGCAGGGAAGAAAAUGACGGUACCUGACUAAGAAGCACCGGCUAAAUACGUGCCAGCAGCCGCGGUAAUACGUAUGGUGCAAGCGUUAUCCGGAUUUACUGGGUGUAAAGGGAGCGUAGACGGCUCAGUAAGUCUGAUGUGAAAACCCGGGGCUCAACCCCGGGACUGCAUUGGAAACUAUUGAGCUAGAGUGUCGGAGAGGUAAGCGGAAUUCCUAGUGUAGCGGUGAAAUGCGUAGAUAUUAGGAGGAACACCAGUGGCGAAGGCGGCUUACUGGACGAUCACUGACGUUGAGGCUCGAAAGCGU
rnacentral:rRNA from 1 species